CUUAAGCAUAUCAAUAAGCGGAGGAAAAGAAACCAACAGGGAUUGCCCCAGUAACGGGGAGUGAAGCGGCAACAGCUCAAAUUUGAAAUCUGGCCCCAGGCCCGAGUUGUAAUUUGCAGAGGAUGCUUUUGGCGCGGUGCCUUCCGAGUUCCCUGGAACGGGACGCCAUAGAGGGUGAGAGCCCCGUACGGUUGGACACCAAGCCUUUGUAAAAGCUCCUUCGACGAGUCGAGUAGUUUGGGAAUGCUGCUCUAAAUGGGAGGUACAUUUCUUCUAAAGCUAAAUAUUGGCCAGAGACCGAUAGCGCACAAGUAGAGUGAUCGAAAGAUGAAAAGCACUUUGAAAAGAGGGUUAAACAGCACGUGAAAUUGUUAAAAGGGAAGCGCUUGUGACCAGACUUGCGUCCGGUGAAUCACCCAGCUCUCGCGGCUGGGGCACUUCGCCGGCACAGGCCAGCAUCAGCUUGCCGUCGGGGACAAAAGCUUCAGGAACGUGGCUCCUCUCGGGGAGUGUUAUAGCCUGUUGCAUAAUACCCUUCGGCGGGCUGAGGUACGCGCUCCGCAAGGAUGCUGGCGUAAUGGUCAUCAGCGACCCGUCUUGAAACACGGACCAAGGAGUCAACCUUAUGUGCGAGUGUUUGGGUGUUAAACCCCUACGCGUAAUGAAAGUGAACGCAGGUGAGAGCUUCGGCGCAUCAUCGACCGAUCCUGAUGUUCUCGGAUGGAUUUGAGUAAGAGCAUAUAGGGUUGGACCCGAAAGAAGGUGAACUAUGCGUGUGUAGGGUGAAGCCAGAGGAAACUCUGGGGCUCACAGCGGUUCUGACGUGCAAAUCGAUCGUCAAACAUGCGCAUGGGGGCGAAAGACUAA
rnacentral:rRNA from 1 species